UAGUGAAACCGCGAAUGGCUCAUUAAAUCAGUUAUAAUCUAYUUGGUUGUCAUAACACAAGGAUAACUGCGGUAACCCUGCAGCUAAUACUUGCAAACUGCGUUUCACCUUCGGGGAAGCGUUACUUUUAUUAGAGAAACCCACGACGGGUCAGCUACCGCGUUAUCACGUGGCGAGCUCUGAAUAACUGAAGGAUGCCUAUAGCCUUGAGCUGGGCACGAACCAUCCGAGUAUCUGACCUAUCAACUUCUGACGGUAGUGUAACGGACUACCGUGGUUGUUACGGGUAACGGGGAAUCAGGGUUCGAUUCCGGAGAGGGAGCCUGAGAAACGGCUACCACACCCACGGGAGGCAGCAGGCGCGCAAAUUACCCAAUCUCAGUUCGAGGAGGUAGUGACGAAAAAUAACAAUAUGAACCCUUACGGGUUUGUGAUUGGAAUGAGAGAAAUUUAACUACUUUCAUUCGAGGAUCUAGUGGAGGGCAAGUCUGGUGCCAGCAGCCGCGGUAAUACCAGCAUCCACAAGCGUAUGCAAAAGUUGCUGCGUUUAAAAAGCUCGUAGUUGGAUCUGUUGGU
rnacentral:rRNA from 1 species